rnacentral:rRNA from 1 species
AUACGGAGGGGGCUAGCGUUGUUCGGAAUCACUGGGCGUAAAGCGCGCGUAGGCGGAUUGGUCAGUUGGGGGUGAAAUCCCGAGGCUCAACCUCGGAACUGCCUCCAAAACUGCCAGUCUCGAGUCCGGGAGAGGUGAGUGGAAUUCCGAGUGUAGAGGUGAAAUUCGUAGAUAUUCGGAGGAACACCAGUGGCGAAGGCGACUCACUGGCCCGGUACUGACGCUGAGGUGCGAAAGCGUGGGGAGCAAACAGGAUUAGAAACCCUAGUAGUCC